AGUAAAGGAGCUAUGGGAGAUGAAAGAAGAAGUUAACAAUCAGAAAUCUUGAAUCCGAAUUUUCUUCCAUCGGUAAUCACCAGCAGUUGCUUUGAUUUCCUUGAGCGGAAACCUGACAACAUUGAUGACAUGCAGUCUACAUUUCGUGCUAAAUUUGAGAUCGGAUAAAAUUCGUUGAUCGUGCGUGUUAUUUAGCCACCCAGCCACUCUGGUAUAAGUCGACACCAAGUUCAAGGUACGUCUUCUAAUUUUUUACAACUGAUUAUGUGGAGGUUAUAGUGAGCAGAAAAUUGAAUCGGUAAACUCAACUUUAUCAAAGAAGUAACUGAAAAGUCCCCUCCCAUUUUCUGGUGGCUCCAGUCGGUUUUCCGUCACUCGGACCAUCGGAUCAGCGACGCCGCCUUUGAGUGGCCCAGACAACCCCUUUGGGUUGCCUUGCCAACGAGGCUAAAGCGGAAAUUAUUUUGCCACAUCCAGAUGACUCGAAGGUGCCGACCGUUGAGGGAAUUCCACGUCGACGACGUUGCUGAGUCACAACUUGAAACGGUCAACCAAAUGAGCAAAGGUCGCAUGGCAUAGAGAAAGCGAAUUGGUUUCAUCAAUUCUACUGAGGAAUUGAGAGCCAGAAGAGCCCACGACAAGGUCGUCUUAUUAAUUUCAACAAGAUUUGGCCAUUGGAAGUCUAUCAAGAAGAAAAUUGGCAAAUUAAACUCAACGUUAUCGAAGAGAUAGCUGAAAAGUCCCCGCCCAUUCGCCGGCGGCUCCAGUCGGUUUUCCGUCACUCGGACCAUU